CCCAUGGGCCACCUACACUAGAAUCUUCUUAGCUCCAUUACACAACUACUGAAUCACAGUCUCAGGCCUGUGGCUUGGAAAUCCGCAUUUUCAAAGCUCUCUGAGCUAUAGUCUUACGCUUAUUGAAGUUUGGGAUCCACCAGGUGACAGAGUUGUGCCUCCACUUUACAGACACCAUGACUUGAUCAAUUUACAUCCAGGUACCUCCUCCUGGCUCCCUAAAACUCAUUUCUCUCAUCACCAUGUGGUACCCGGAUAAUUUUCUCAGCUCUGUUCCAAGCAGCUUGCAUUUAUCUUUAUUGUUGCUCUUUUUAUUGAUUUAGGUCCAUCUCUGCAAUUCGUCAAGCUUGGAUUGCAUUUUAAUCUUGUCCUCCAAAGUAGCUAAGAUCCCUUCCAGCUUCCUAUCAUCCAGAAAUCUGAUUAGCUGGGUCUCGAUUCCAUCCUUCAAGCCAUUAAUGAAAACAUUAAAUGGUCCUGGCUUGGCAUGAAGGUCUUCAGGGUUCUCGGUGGGUAUAUGGCUCCCAUAUCUGCCACUAGCCUCUGCUUGGCAUAGUCCUGGGUUGGAGAUCAGGCCCAAUAUUUCAGUUGUAGGUUACUGCAUCCUCAUGCUUCCUCAUCCAUGCACGUAGUGCAAAUCUGUGUAGGAAAAAUACAACCUAGUAAUUAAUUAAUUCAUUAGACAUUAGAUCAACAAAUGUCUUUAAAACACUAGGUUUUUCCUCACACCAGUGGCAUGUUGACCUCAGAAUGAAGAAGCUAAUGCCGAGUGUGUGCAUUAGAAAGAUCGAUUUUUAUGUAAAAUGCAACUCGGAUCUGUCUUUGUGAUACACCAUUCCAGGAGGAGAUGACCUCAAGACAAGCAGCUUCCAUGCAAUACUGCAGCAAGGGCUUACUUUCCUGAGCAUUUCCCACGCUCCAAUCACUGCUCUAAUUCCUUUAGAUGUGUUAACUCACUUCCUGCUCACAAUACUUCUAUGAGGCACUCAGCAGCUGUUUCCUGAGCUGAUGUACAUCUCAUUAGUCUAUCAAGCUCCAACAGCCAAGGCCAAGGCCCCCAGAAUGAAAAACUGACGCAGCCACCCCUUCCUGUGCCAGAGACAGGAGAAGGGAGGGAGACUGACGGCCUUUGUUCUCUGAGCAAGACCGUAAAGCACUUCGCCUACAGGCCACAAGAGGGCGAUGGUGGUCCACACAUAAGAUCUUCCCAAAGAGCCAGCCAAAAACGCCUGCCUGGAGAAUCUGGAGGUUGUGAAAGGUGACUUUGUUAAGGAAGGGCGAUGGCCCUUCUCCCUGCCCCAGAGCUCUGAAAGCCUUUAAAGUGGCUUUAGCAGCGUGGUUUAAGAAUGGCUCCUUCGGUACAAGGACGGCCAUCACUGCUUCUCCUACUGUGUUUGAUGCCAGCGUUCUUCCCGUCUGCAGGGAAGGACGGAGAGUGAGGAGGGCACACAGGACGUAGCUGGCUCCUGGCCAUGGACGGUGACCGCUCUGGGGCCAGCAGGGUAGAGCUGCCUUCCUACAUCUGAGAACUCAAGGGCGAGAGGGAGGCAGGGCAGGGGAGAGGGUUGGUCUCAGUUCACAGGGCGACCCUCUGGCCCUGGUUCUGACGGCGACUCGCUGUGUAAGCUAAGGAGUGUCUCGCUCUGUACAGCGGGCAGGUGGUGGGUCUCUGCACGUCCAGCAUCUCCAGCUUUCCGUCCUCUGAGCUGUUUUGACAUGGGAGGCGCUGGCAGGGAGAGAGGGGUCACUGAUGUGGGAAGCUGGUGCAGAGCUGGGGAGUAGCUUGUGAUGCUGGAGAACCUGGAGAUGCCCCUCCCAUUCCUUGGGCCUCGACUGUCUCAUCUGUGGAAUGGGCGGGUCAGACUGGAUAAUCUCUAACCAUUGCUUCCCUUCACUUCUGUCCCAAUAAACACACACGGAGCUUUUUCGUUUGUCUUUUGUCUUUUUUUUUUUUUUUUUUUUUUUUUUAGAGACGAGGUCUCACUAUGUUGUUCCCCAGGUCUGAGUACAG
rnacentral:lncRNA from 10 species